rnacentral:lncRNA from 1 species
ACCUUCCUCCUCCAAAUACAAGAUGUGUCUGUGAAUAUUUGCUAUUCUUACUUCACUUUUAAAAGGUUACCUGGUUUAUUUUAGUUCCCUCCCAACCUAAACCAAAAUAAGUCUGGUUAUAAACCAGAGCACCAUCAACACAGAUAUUUGCACUGGUUCUAUUAGAAGUGGUAUAAAAAUCAGGCCUGUGCUUAAGGUGCUGCAGCAUGCCGUUACAUAGAAGAGGCCUUUCCAGGAGAUGAGUCACUGUUGGAGUCUGUGGGUCUUUCACUAUUUAAUGCCUCUAUUUUUUUCCUUUGGUCAAGUUUCUGAAAUAUCAGAGCAGCAAUAUUAUUUCUCAAAAAGAAAUUAGCCAGAUUCUCCAAGAGGCAGCAGAAGCCAACUUAGCAGAGCUGCCUGAGGCCACAUCUCGUGCUCUUCACCUCUUCCUUUGUCAGAUUCAGAGCAGUCAUUGCCAGGUGGAGCCAGUGCAGUCAAGGACCAUUCAGACCUUGCUGGAGCGCCUUGUGGGACAGAGGACUGCAUGUGUAAAACAUCAGGACAUUGUAUGUCUGGGAAGCGUGGCAGUGUCCCUCUCGCACAUUGGAGACUGAAAUGAGAAGGUGGGGUGCACGCAGCAGAGGAGCGGGGAUGGAUCAGGAGACCCCAUCCUGCCCUUUAUUCCCAGCGGGCAGUAGAGGGAAG